AACGAACGCUGGCGGCAGGCUUAACACAUGCAAGUCGAGCGAAACCUUCGGGUCUAGCGGCGGACGGGUGAGUAACGCGUGGGAACGUGCCCUUCUCUACGGAAUAGCCCCGGGAAACUGGGAGUAAUACCGUAUACGCCCUUUGGGGGAAAGAUUUAUCGGAGAAGGAUCGGCCCGCGUUGGAUUAGGCGGUUGGUGGGGUAAUGGCCCACCAACGCGACGAUCCAGAGCUGGUUUGAGAGGAUGAUCCGCCACACUGGGAAUGAGACACGGACCAGACUCCUAGGGGAGGGAGCGGUGGGGAGUCUUAGAGAAUGGGGGCAAACGUAAUAUAGCCAUGCCGCGUGAGUGAUGAAUGCCUUAGGGUUGUAAAGCUGUUUCAGCUGGGAAGAUAAUGACGGUACCAGGAGAAGAAGCCCCGGCUAACUCCGUG
rnacentral:rRNA from 1 species